AGCUUCUUUUUAAUAUUACAAGUGUCCUCUAGGCAUUGUUCAUAUUCCACUCGGCAAUUGUCAAAACUGUCCACAACACUUUGUAAUUCUAAAUAUUGCU